AGUCUUUUGACGCAGCUGAUUAAUAGGUACGGAUCUGCUCUGUCCUUGAUGCCCAUUAGUGGCCAUUUAGUGUUAGGGUUUGUACAAAGAUCUGAUUUUUUUUCCUGCUGGCUAAUUGUGCAAGAAGUAGAACUCUGCUAGAGGACGUUCGCCGGGAUGGAGCCUCUUCAUUAACCGGUGACGACGCCGCCGGUGUGCGAGUUGCCGACCAGGACAGCAUCAAGUGCAGACGGGCAGGUCUGCACAGAGGGCGUUGGUCGAGAAGCAGGAAGUGCAGACAAGGGCCAAGCUUCAGAGCAGUCGAUUGAGCAGGUGGAUCCGAAAACACCUGGGUGGACGCAAAGGUAUGCUCUUAGUCAGUGGCUCAGUGCCUUGCCUAUAUGAUUAAAUCUAGAAUAUAGACAUACAUUCAGGAAAAAAUAAUACUAGAAUCAGAUUUGACUGUAUGGUGAUAGUUCACUGUAUGUACAUAGCCCCUGUCAGUAAAUGAUUUUUUCUACAAACUACUUAGAACCUGAAUAUGCUCUUCGUCAGUGCGUUGCAAUUAUGAUUAAAUCUAGAUUGUAGAGAUACAUUCAGUGGAAAAAAAGAUUAGACUCAGAUUUGACUGUAUGGCCAUAGUUGACUGCAUGUACAUAUCCUUGUCGCGCUAGGCAGAGACCCAUGGAAAAAAAGAUGCAUUCAGUUAAUGAUUUUGUCCAUAAACUACUUAGAACCUGCCUACAUAUGCAAUGACAAAUCCAUAGUCUUGAACUCGUUGUGAUCUGCAGCGACACAUACACCCAUUUUAUCAAACUAUAAAAAGGGGAUUUGAUUCUGUGGAUAUGUUUUCAUGGCAUUGCAGAGUGCGUGUUGGGGCUGCCGCACUAGGCAGAGCCCCAGGCCCUGAUAGGAUUUCACCACUAGAGAGAGCAAUUCGGUGUUUUGCAGAGGAGCCUGGCGAGAUUGUCAUUGUACCGAAGAUAGGCACGAGUUUUGACACUCUUGGUGAGGCAUAUGAUUUCUACAAUCUGUACUAUUGGGAAAAAGGUUUUGGCAUCAGAUAUGGAAAGAGCAGACUAAAUGUGAACCGAACAAAAUGCAUGUGAGAGAUCGUGUGCAGCUGCGCGGUACUGUUAAUUUGAAGCUCUUCCUGUAGUUAGUUACUUGCCUGUCUGAAAUUGGUGUUAGAAAAAUCUGAAUUUUAUUGAUUGAAAUUUUUACAAGGAAAACCAAUAGUUGAGAACACUCGAUCGUGUCGCUGCCAUGGUCACUGGCCUCUGCGUUCUAUCGCGCCUGCAACGUUGAUGAAAGGUGAAGGAGAUGGAAAUUUCAGAGAGGAAAACGUAAAAAAUAUUUAGGCAUGACUUUACCACUACAAAAAUGUUCAGUCACUGCCCUCGUGCCAAUUCUUGUGUGCUUUAUCCAUGAAACAGUCCAUGCUUCCCCAAAAUUCAUGCAUUUGAAGCUUCGAACCGAGGCUUGGUUCAUUUAGGGAAAUGAAUUGUAGACGUAUUUUUAAAUUUAUGUUUAGUACUAGAAUUCUAUGAGUGUGAAGUGGCUGAACUGAUGUUUCAAAUUCAUAAUCUUCAUUGCAAGUACAUGAACUAAUGUUUUUUCCCGCAUAUUGCUCAAUUUAUACUAUGUCUUUAAUUUACUAGAUGAACUGCACACCUCAACGCAGCACUAAUGCAAAGAUUCUACAUCUUGGUCGGCUGCUCGCGGCGGGGCUUGUGUCUGGUGCUUGCGACAGUGGCAGAGCAGUGCCCGCGAGCGCGGCGCAAGCAGUGGCCCCUGCUAUGUGGGCUGAUGCAAGCGCGGCGCAAGCACUUCAAGUCUGACAAUGUCCACUCUACAAGGUACAUAGGCACUCGUGCAAAGAUCUAACAUCUUCAUCGACUAGUACUAAGGUAUGUGUUUUCUUCUGCCCGUGUGAUGUGGUGAUUAUUUGUUCUGCAUAUGUUUGUAUAUGUUAGUCAGUAUUUGGGAGAUAUGAGAUGGUUUGCCGGAUAAGAAAUAGAACAAGAACAAGCAGGAGCUUUAGUUGGGCCAUGUCAUUGUGAACUUGGAGCACAAAAAUGUAUAGGAAGUGGUCGUCGUAAAACUGGGUGCUUAAGAUCUACUGAACUAUAACAUUUUUUAGUCUUAAGUAAAGCAAUUACUUUCUGGGUCAUAUUUAAUUUGUCUAUGUUAAUAAUUUCUUGCGUGAAUAGAUGGGCCAAGCCGAGCAGGCCAUCAACCAACUACUCGUGCUUUGCUUUAUUUUAUUUUAUUUUAUUAUUUGUGUUCUUAAUCUUGGUUUUCACUGGUGUGUGCUCCGUCCUCUCAGGUUAGAUUUGAAUUUGUUGUCAUAGAAAAAAUAUUUCUAUCGCCUUUAAUAAUAUAGGUAAUCCAGUUAUGUAUGCAAAAUCCUCAGUGAGGAUUAUUUUUUUCUGAAUCACUUAUCUCUGAGCAGCAUCUGCAUCCUUCUGCCUUAGCCUGAUCAAUUUUUCCCACUAUACAACUUUGUUUUUUGUUUGCCAACAUAUUCGAACGAAGGUGUCUCCAUGUCAAGCAUGCAUCCAUUGAAAUUUGGUGUUAACCAAUUUUUGGAGGAUUGCAUCAAUGUUGCUCCAUAGGAUGUUUAUCUUUUCGGUCUUUUUGCUAAUGACAAUGUUUGGUGUGCCAGUGCCCAGUUGUGUAUAUUCUUGGACCUUUUACAUUUGAUAUCAACAAUUCAAAAGUUAACAUGGAUCUAGCCAUCUAGGUGAACUUCCAUUUAAUGUUAUCAAUUUUCUUGCAGCGAACUUGAAUGUUUUUGUUACUUUUGCUUGUACUUGAUAUCUUCCAGAGGCUAAUGUGUUGUGGAGUUUAGCUCUCAAUAUGGUGCCCAUAUUUUUACGGUUAAGGCAAGAGCUCUGCCAAUUCAUUGAAGUUGAGGGAAACUGUAUCAUUGUUGUCAGUGCACAUUCAGAGACGUAUGAGUGGUUCCCAGCUUUGUUGAUGUCUUCCUUCAAGCUUAAUAAAAUUGUGUUGCGCACUUUUGGUUUGUGAGUUUUUUUGGCAUUAUGGUGUUGCUGAGUUUAAUUGGGUGGCUAUUUUUAGUAGCUUCUAAUUUCAAAAUCCAUGUAGCCCAACCGUGCAGGAGCCACACAAAGCUGCAUGGUGCUUUUGCUUUCUGAGUUAGUCGAACUAGUAAAUGCAGUACUGGUGAAGAUUGGUAGGUCCAACCGGUAGCUAACACUUAUUGGCUCAUAAGCUCCGUUAGCUCAGAAUCUAACCGAAGACGGCUCAUUCCAUCCAUGGGCUUCUGAUCCAUUUAAACGGUAACUGGCGGAGUUACCUGGAUGCUAUGUGAUGUGUGGGCCACAAUCUAUUAAAAAAUACUGUAAUAGCACAGUACGACUUUACCAGGACCUACAUGUUGCACGGAUCACGAUAUAACCUAGUGGUGCAGAUUCCGGGCUCACUGCAGCUCGAGCUCACAUAAGCACUUUCGUGUAGAUACUUCCAAUUUUGAAUCUCUGACUUACUAAAGAAAUAUAAUUUAUUACCAACAUAAUACUCCCUCUGUUUUUAUAUACUCCGCAUAUUAGCUUUGGUCAAAGUCAAACUAUGUAAACUAUGAUAAAGUUUCUAGACAAAUAUGUUAACAUAUACAAUAAAAAAAUCAAUACAAUUAGAUUCAUUAUUGAAUAUACUUUCACAUCAUAUAGAUUUGUUAUUGUAAAUGUUUAUAUUUUUUUCUAUAAACUUGGUCAAACUCUAAAAUGACAUAAUAUGCUUAAGAAAUGACAUAUUUUUGCUCCUAAAUGACUUCACAUGCUUAGCUAGCUCCAAAAUGACAUAAUAACCUUACUUAGCUCUAGAAUGACCUUAGCAUGUUUUACACCAAAAUGACUUAGUAUGCUUAGCUAGCUCAAAAAUGACAUAAUAACCAUACUUAGCUCCAAAAUGACCUAUUUUACAGAUAUAAGUUGCAUCAUAAUAAUUUUCACAUUUUAGUUGCAUCAUAAUAAUCUUCUUCUUCUAGACUUCUUCUUCUAACUUUCUUCUUUCCCAUUUUACAGAUUUGCUUAAGAUCACAUAAGCUUGGGUUGAUGGAGUGCUUGUAUUUAGUUUUUGUUUUGACCUUGUGAAACUUGCUACCUAUGGAUGAAACUGUGUAAUAUUGAUGAAACUACGUAUAUGUACGGAUGAAACUUGCUACUAUUGGUAACAUGUGUUGGAUAUAUAUAUGUGUUCAUGACUAUUGGUAAUAUGUGUUGAAUAUGCUAUAUUGGUCAUAUAAAUAUAUUUGUGUUUGAUUUUCUGUGAAAAUGAAUUGAUAUAAGAAAAAACAAAAUUAAAUAGGGAAAUAUAGUCA
rnacentral:lncRNA from 1 species